rnacentral:lncRNA from 1 species
GGCUCAGCCGGUUCGGAGCCGGGUCGCCCAGGCUCCAGGGGCCCCGGAACCGGGAUAAGUGGGACAGGCGCCGCGGCGAAGGGGGGUUGUGGGGUGGAGCGUGCUCAGUAUUUCCUACACGGGUUCUGGGGCCCGGCGAAGACGCACCGAGAGCAGAGGGAAGUGCGGCGGCCCUGGAACCUGGAUAUCGCGCGAGAAACACAGGCUCAUGAAAACAUCACAGUGUGUCCUCAUCCAUCUUAUCCACUGGAGCUGGCACCGUAUGACUUCUGACUCUUCCCCAAAUUCAAAAUGACCAUGAAAGGUAAACAUUUUGAAUCAGUUCAGGACAUCAAGGGAGCCACAACAGUCCAACUAAAAAGGACUUCCAGAACUGCUUCAGAAAGUGGCAAGAACAAUAGGAUACAUUCGUUCAAAGAGAGGGGGAGUAUUUUGAGGGUGAUUGAUGGCAGUGUGUCUUUUACUGUAAUAAAUCUUUUUAAAUUUAAGCAUUCACUGUAGUUUUCAGUCACACCUCAUAUAAUGCUUGGCUUUGUAAGAAACUGACUCUUCCAAUGUGCCUGUCCUUUUGUUGCAUUCCUACCAGCAAUGAAUAAGACUUCCUGUCACUCCACAUCCUUGUCAGGUUUUGAUGUCAGUGUUCUAGAUUUUCACCAUUCUAAUAGUUGUGUAGUAGUAUCUCAUUGACCUUUUAAUUUGCAGCUUUCUAAUGACACAAUGUUGAGUGUUAUUUUUUGUGCUUUUUUGCCAUCUCUUUAUCUUCUUUGCUAAGCAGUCUCUUCAGAUCUUUCUUUUUUUGAGACAAGAUUUCAAUAUAUAGUUCAGGCUGGCUUUGAACUCAAGAUGUAUAUAGCCCAGGCUUGUCUUGAACUCGUGGCAAUCCUCCUGCCUCAGUUUCUCUUCCCCAUUCUUUUUUUUGGUACCGGGGAUCGAACUUCGAUCCUUGCACUUGUGCAGCAGGCGGAGAAACCACUGAGCUAAAUCCCUGGCCCUCUUGCCCAUUCUUUAAUUGAGUCAUUGUAUCCUGUGCAUAUUUCUUUGUCAGCCUUGACUAUUGAAUUUUGCACUUGUAUUUUGUAUUUUGGUAAAAAGUAAUAUCAUAAUUAUUCUUUCCUGUUCUUUAAUUAUUGAGAGUCAAACUUUUUCAAAGUUAUUUACUGGGCCAGGGAUUUAGCUCAGUGGUUCCACUGCCUGCCUCGAAGGCUC